ensembl:lncRNA
AUGUUCAUUCAAUCCCAGCUACUUGGGAGGCUGAGACAGGAGAAUCGCUUGAACCUGGGAGGUGGAGGUUGCAGCGAGCCGAGAUCGCACCAUUGCACUUCAGCCUGGGCAACAAGAGCAAAACUCUAUUUCAAAAAAGAAAGAAAAAAAAAAAAGAAAGAAAGAAAGAAAAUGUUCAUUCUACAGCUAAUAAUUCCCCAAAAUGUUCUCCUUAUUGGUCACUUCCCACUGAGAGCUUGUUUACACCCAUUUCAAACACCAUCUCCAAACGGAUACCUUGACUACCAGAUCAAGUGCCAGAACAUAACAGAAGCUGACUAAUAUUUGGUAGAAGAAGAAAGGGAAGAGGAGAAUUCAGAUAUUAAUAGAGAGUGUGUGUUCGCAUGUGCACGUGUGUGUACUCACAUUCAGGUCCUCUGACAUCAGAGUAAAACCCUGUGCAUAAACCUAGAGGCUGGCCUGGAGCCUUUAAACAGAAGUGAGGGGCACGGUCCUUUAUUUUGGGUCAACUCUUGGCAGAUGUAAUGAAUCACCUCUGGUGCUUUUCCCAUGUUGCUGAUAUGCAGAGUGCUGAGGGUGGGAAACGGGGGCCAAGGAGCCCGAACCCCUGACCCAUCCUACACUUUGGGGUAGACCUAGCUCCCGGCCUGAGGUAUGAGCAGAGCUGGCUUGGAGGAAAAUGCUGACAUUGUCUUAGCAUGAUGGGCCUUUCCCUGAAGGGCUGUUUCAGCUGCAAGGCAAAACUGUUAUUCUGGGUUACUCUGGGAACAAAUUAUAAGAAUCAUUUCCCCAAAUGCCCUCUCUGAUAGAGUUCCCACAUAGUCAGAGGAAAUGAAAUCUCCCUUAAUCAAUUCCACUGGUUCGGUGUCAAGCUCCUAAGCCCCUCUGAGGCUCCCAUACCACCCGCCUCCUCAUUCUCUGCACACAUUACCAUAAAUCACUCUCCAAACCUGACCCGGGCAAUCCUGUUCGUACUUAGGGAGCUAAAUGAUACUUGCCUGAACUGUGUGUGUUGGUUUAUAAACAGAAUUCCAAAUACCAAAUUUUGGCUAAUAAUAGUUUCUUCUAAAUAUAACGUUCUAGGCAAGGGAAAAAUCCUAACUCUUCUAACUCCCUCCAACCCCCCAAAAAACACACUGCUGUUGCUGAUGUUUUUUUGUGUGGUCCUGGUCCUAAGCUAUUACAUAGAAAAGUCUUCUGAGGAAUAACCGAUUGAAACUAUAAGAUAUUUUUCCAGCUACAUUUUCCAAGGGAAGUUCAUUUUUAUUUUAUUUUAUUUUGUAUUACCAGAGUUCCCAUGAUAGUUCAUGAAUGUCAGAGAGGCCCUAGACUUUCAAGUUUGCUUUACUUGUUUAAUGGAAAACUGAAAAGGAGAUGAAGAUUUAAGUCAUUUUCCCAAUGCCACAAAGUGGGCUGGGUGCAGAGCCUGUGUGUUAACCAAGAAUCCCUCCGGUGAUUUUUCGAGAAACACCUGGCCUGGCAAGGAAGAGGUUGCAUCACAAUGUGAGGGUGGUUUUCUUCUUCUCAGUCUUUGAGAGGUGUGAGAGUGCAAAGGGGCCUGGGUGCGGUCUCUGGGACCACUGCCCGCCUCAGUCAGAUGCUCCAGAGACCCCUAAAGGCUGUUUCCAAUCUCUGGGGGGUGUGGCCAGACAGAAUGCACCCACCCUCAACUUCACCACUUAACUGCAUUUGUAAAAAUUUUAAGUGCAUCCGAAGGCUCUCCAGUUUGAAACCCUGCAGAGCAGGAUGAAGCUCCCUGAGGGCUGUGGAAGCUGCAGUGUCAUUCUGAUACACAGCAGUUCUUGGAAGAAAUACUGCAGCCUAAGCCGGUGGCCACACACUGCUGCUUCUUAAAUGGCUCCCCUCUGCCUUAGGGAUAAUGUGUGAGUCCUUAAGGUGGCUCAGGAGGCUCAGAAGACAGCUGUGCAGUUCAGCUUCUUAACUCCUACCACACCGGAGCUGUUUAGUCUCGGUCUUGUCUCCUUGUGUACAAGCUCUGGGAAGGAAGGGACCAUGAUUCUCGCAUUUACAUCUUUGUCCCCAGAGCUCAGCAGAGUUCCUGACACCGGGCAGGUGAGCAAUUGUUGAUUGCUGGAAGAGUGAAUGACAUCAAAUUACUUCUUAGUUGACUGGAAAGUGGACAAAUGUCUAGUCAGGAGAACUUGAGGAAGCUCAGGUCACUUGCCAGGGUCAGACCAUAAUUUUGAGGGAAGGGACUUUGACCCUGGAGGACUUUGCUAUGCUUACUUUGUGUCCACAAGGAGAAAAUGGUUUGACAUGCACAAAAGGAGCAUAGAGGCUGGAGUUUCUGGUUGGUUGAUUUAUAUAAGUAUGUGCAGCAGAAAUGACCACCACAGUCUUACCCCCUAUAGGUGGGCAAAACUUGGCCUUAGUUUCUACCCAUUUCUUGGAACAGAAUUAUGUCUAAUCUACUUGGCUGUUUAAGCUGAGGGUGGGCUCAAGUUAGAUAAUAUUUAUCCCCCAAGAGGUGAAAAGCACCUGCUGCAAGCCAUUAACCACAUCCAGUGACAGAGCUCAUGCACCUGCUGCUCCCCACCCUUGAGGGUGCCCAUCUGUGCUCAAACUGAAACUACCCAGGUGAAAACACAACAUCCCUUUGUGUUGUGAUUUACUUCAAAUGUUCCCAGGGAAGCAAUAGGUAGGCCUAUGAUAUCUGGGAUCCAUUAGAUGGCUGUAUUGCAUUUCUUUCCAUUAACAAAUGUUUCUUCUCCCAAUGCAAGGGGUGAGCUCCGUUGCUCCCCAGAGUCAGCCUCUAGACUGUGUGGGGAACAAACAUUAGGAAAACCAAAGUGAGGUUUCUAUCUCAUAUCUGUAUGGAGCACUGUAGUAUUCUGGGCUCAUCACCCUUCCCUGUCAGGCAGUGGGAAGAUGUGCUGGAACUUUCCCCUGGGACACAGCUGGGGUCCAGCUUGUUGGCUUCCAGACAAUGUGGAGACAGUGUGGCCUGAUGCAGAGGCACUGGCCUUGUUGUCUGGAGACCUGGUUUCUGUUUCACCUCUUAUACAAAUUUGGAUUAAUGAGAUUGUAUUGUAUGUCCUAAGUUUUUCCUCCCUGUCCACUCUUGCCAUUGUUCACUGGGGGUAAAAUAUCUUUUCUGGUUCAUUGGCUUUGGCCUUGGUCAGUUGACUUGCUUUGGCCAAUGGAAGGUGGAUAUGACAGGUCACUAGUUACAAGCGGAGGCUCUAAGGGCUCUCACUGCUUAUUUCUCUUCUGCUUUUGCCAGUGCCAUGAGGAGAACUUGCCCUGGGUAGCUGCUGUAGCCACCAGAUAACAUGAGUCCCCAAGUACUACUGGUCAACCUGCACACUUGUGAGCAGGAAGCAAAUGUUUGCUGUUGUAAACCACUGAGUUUUGGGGUUUGGUACUUGACAUUUGUAUUAGUUCAUUUUCAUGUUGCUGAUAAAGACAUACCCGAGACUGGGAAGAAAAAGAGGUUUAACUGGAUCUCCCAGAAUUCCCCUUUUUACAUGGUAGCGGCAAGAGAAAAUGAGAGAGAUAGAAAAGUGGAAACCCCUGAUAAACCCACCAGAUCUCGUGAGAUAUAUUCACUAUCAUGAGAAUAGCACGGGAGAGACCAGCCCCCAUGAUUCAAUUACCUCCCCCUGGGUCCCUCCUAUAACAUGUGGAAAUUCUGGUAGAUACAGUUCAAGUUGAGAUUUAGGUAGGGACACAGUCAAACCGUAUCAACAUUAUUGAAGCAAUAUUUGGUUAAUGUAAAGACUUUCAAGAUCUUUAGUUUUGUUUGAAUUUUUCUAUCUUUGGUCUGAGGUAUGAUUUUUGUACCACAAAGUAGAAUGAAUAAACUUUACUGUUCUUACUGUUUGAUGAAUUUUGACAAUGUUCCACACUUGUGACCACCAUCCCCAACAAGCUAUUGACCAUUUUCUACCACUCCAACAAAUCCCCUCAUGCCCCUUUCUAGCAAUUCUACCUCCCCCGCUCUAGAGGCAACUGUUUUUAAAUUUCUAUCACUAGCUUAGCUUGCCAGUUCUUGAGUUUCCUAUAAAUGGAAUCACACAGUGCAAUCUCUUUGCAUUUGGCUUCUUUUGAUCAAUGUGAUGUUUUUUGAGAUUCAUUCAUGUUGGGUGUCUCAGUAGUUUGUUCUUUUUAUUGCUGACUAGCAUUCCAUUGCAUGAAUAUCCACAAUUUGUUUACAUGUUUACCUGGUGAUAGACAUUUGGGUUGUUUCCAGAUUUUGGCUAUUGUGAAUAAAGCUGCUUUGUUUUCAGUGGAUGUUUUCUUUUCUCCUUGGUAAAUACCUGAAAAUGGUAUUAUUGGGUUAUAAGGCAAAUUGUUUUCCAAACUGGUUAUGAUAUAUUACCUCCAAUCAACAAUUUAUUAGCGUUUCAGUUCCUUCACAUCCUUGUCUUCUGGAUUUUAACUCUUCCAGUUGGUAUAGAGUGAUAUCUCAUUGCGUUUUUAAUUUUCAUUUCCCUGAUGAGUAAUGGUGGUGAGAAUCUUUUCAUGUGUUUAUUGGGCAUUGCUGUAUCUUCCUUUAUAAUGUGUCUAUUUAAGUCUUUUGUGCAUAUCUUAA